ACUAUUGAGUUCACCAAUAGCCUGGCUAACAUCAGACCUUAUCUCAUUGAGAUGGGAUCUGGGAACUAGACAUUCAUUUUCUCGUAUUUGAAACGUGGU